GGGGGAGUUACCAUGAUGACGGCCUGCUGGUUCACAAUCGCCUGCUGCUGCUGGGCCAAAACAGCUUGCUGGUCUCCUAGAGGAGAAACAGUGUUACAGGUGCCACAGCAGCGACAGGAGGCGACAUCAUACCGCCCACAGGAAGGACUCUCACAGCUGUGGACACAAGCACAGACAAGCAGCCAACUUUUGACAGAUUCAAUACCUCCAGGUGGAGGUGGGUGGCCAGAUGACUGCCCCGGCUGUUGCCACUUCCCACCGACGCCCCCGGCCCCC